rnacentral:lncRNA from 1 species
AAGGAUGUCACAUCAUUAAAAAGUGUCAACUCAGCAAACAAUUAAGGGAAAUGAGUGGAUGACUACAAAAUCAAAAAAAUGAUAAAUAUGAGGGGUCAAAAUAGCUCAUUUUAAACUAAGGGACCGAAAUCGUACAAUUGACAAAUUUGAUGGGGGAAAAAGUGAAUUUAAGAGCCAACAAACUUUACAAUUGUAACACUUAAUGAUA